UGCGCACGCGCCGACCCCUCCCGGCAACUCCCCAACCCUCUCCCCUUGCACAUGCGCAGAAUUACAGCUGUUCCCGGCUCUCCCAGCACUUCCUUGGUGGCAACCCGCCUACCUCUUUUCCUUGCGCGUGCGUGCAAGUCCUCCUUGGCUCAGCCUCGGAGGUAGAGAGACGGUGGGACUGUGGCCUGAAGAUCCAUAGACGAUAUAUCAGUCUAUAAGCAUUUAGUCUACUGUUCCAGGAAAACACAUCAGGGUGCAGCUUAAGCGAAAAGAAAAAUGUCCUAUUGCCAGUGUCUAAGCGAACAACGGAAUGUGUCUCCGAGACCAUCUGUAUUGGGUGGACACACGCGUGCUUAAAACAACCCCGCCCGUGUGCGGAGUCCUUGCUGUUGCCAGCGCUUCGCGGGAGUUAUCGCACAGAAGCUUCAGAACAACUCUAUGAGGUAUGUUCAUAUUUUAAGAAAGAAUGAAGACCGUUAAAGAAGAAAGCAGUUUGAACGAAUGUAUCUUCCAGGAGGGCAGGCCUAUAUCUUUUUUUCUGUUGAUUCCAGUGCCUAGCAAGUGUUUGACAUAUAAAGGAUGUUCAAUAAGUAUUUUAAUAAGUUCAAUAGAGAGAAAGAGAUAGAAACAUCAGUGAUGAGAAUCAUUGGUGGGCUGCCCUUGACUGGAAUUGAACCCGGGACCCUUCAUCCGCAGACCGACGCUCUAUCCACUGAGCCAAACCAGCUAGGGCUGUGGUACAUUUUUGCAAUCUAUUAUUUUGUACAUCAAAAAGAAUUGUCUCUUAAGUGCUAAAUUUUUUCUAACACAAAAGAGAAAAUUUCUUCUUAGACUUGUUUAUUUUGGCCAGCUGUGAGCUUCAGGAGUUCUACCGGGAGUUCAACUGCUUGCUAUGACGUGCGCUGACCACCAGGGGGUGGCGUGGAACAUGGCAGGUGUCAGCGAUGCGGUGCUGGCAGUGGGCAGCAGUGGAGGCGCUGCUGGCUCGAUGAGACCAGGACCCUGAUGUUAUGGUGGAGCAGGAAAAUGCCUCUUGGAUUUUUAAUCAGAAUGUGAUUAUUCUUCGGUAAAAUAAAAACAUAUUUGAAAACUCAA